UUACGGUCAUAUCAUGUUAAAACACCAAUUCUCGUAAAAUCACCAAAGUUAAGCAAUGCAUAGCCAGGUCAGUACCUAGAUGGGUGACCACCGUAGAAUACCAUGUGCUGUAAG